AGCGAACGCUGGCGGCAGGCCUAACACACGCAAGUCGAACGAACUCUUCGGAGUUAGUGGCGGACGGGUGAGUAACACGUGGGAACGUGCCUUUAGGUUCGGAAUAACUCAGGGAAACUUGUGCUAAUACCGAAUGUGCCCUUCGGGGGAAAGAUUUAUCGCCUUUAGAGCGGCCCGCGUCUGAUUAGCUAGUUGGUGGGGUAAUGGCCCACCAAGGCUACGAUCAGUAGCUGGUCUGAGAGGAUGACCAGCCACAUUGGGACUGAGACACGGCCCAAACUCCUACGGGAGGCAGCAGUGGGGAAUCUUGCGCAAUGGGCGAAAGCCUGACGCAGCCAUGCCGCGUGGAUGAUGAAGGUCUUAGGAUUGUAAAAUCCUUUCACCGGUGAAGAUAAUGACUGUAGCCGGAGAAGAAGCCCCGGCUAACUUCGUGCCAGCCGCCGCGGUAAUAC
rnacentral:rRNA from 1 species